rnacentral:lncRNA from 1 species
ACUAUCCGGAAGAAAUAAAAUUUGAUAAAAGUUAUCAAAAUACUUUUUAGUGAUAAGUUAUCGUGCAAUUCAAUCUUUCAGUCAAACAACAUUCCAGAUGAGUUGUGGGCAUGAAAUCAUAUCAAGCCUAAUUGUUUACUGUUGGUGCAAAAAUCCGCCUGCGCUGGAGAAGCUAGAGUUGAGGAGGCCGCGGUCGCCGUCGGGACCUGCAAGGGAAGUCUAAACCGGAGGUGGGGUUGCUCCGGCAAGACCCUCCGACGCUCAAGUCAGUUCUCUGCCUCAACAAGAAUGGAGUGCUCAAACGGAGAAUUUAGCAGAGUUUUGAGAUAAGAGAAAUGAGCUUAAAAAAUAACGUAUCUGAGUCCCCCCUUUUAUAGGCGGGGGAGGCAACGGACUGAUGGCGACGUGCGUAACUGCCUGGUAGUGGGCCGCCCAUGGUCAGGGAAAUUGAUUGCAAAAGAUAGUGGAGCGGACACGCGGGUAUCACCUCGACUUGCCACGUGGAAUCCGUUAUGAAGGGUGGAGCAGCGUCCGUCGUCAGGGGAACCGCAUGGUACCCGUCGCAGGAGGUG